GCUAUAUGCAAAAUUCUUUUGAGUGAAAUAUUUCUGAAAUGCAAUAACGUAAGGCUUUUACUUAUAAGCUGAGGAA
rnacentral:snoRNA from 1 species